GACGAACGCUGACGGCGUGCUUAACACAUGCAAGUCGAAGGGAGUGGCGAACGGGUGAGUAACACGUGAGUAACCUGCCCUUUUCUUUGGGAUAAGCCUGGGAAACUGGGUAUAAUACUGGAUGGAUUGGGAUGGGCUCGCGGCUUAUCAGCUUGUUGGUGGGGUGAUGGCUUACCAAGGCUUUGACGGGUAGCUGGCCUGAGAGGGUGCUCGGACACUCUGAGACGGGGAUACGGCCCAGACGCCUACGGGGUGCAGCAUUGGGGGAUAUGGCACAAUGGACGAAAGUCUGAUGCAGCGAGGUCGUGGGGGGGAUGAAGGCCUUCGGGUUGUAAACUCCUUUCGCCAGCGGAAUGGUAGUGGGUAAAGAAGCGCCGGCUAACUACGUGCCAGCAGCCGCGGUAAUAC
rnacentral:rRNA from 1 species